rnacentral:misc_RNA from 1 species
GGCUAUAAAAUGGCUUCGCUCAUAUACAGACAGCUGCUCGCUAAUUCUUACGCAGUGGAUUUGUCUGAUGAGAUACAGUCAGUUGGAUCAGAGAAAAACCAACGCGUUACAGUGAAUCCAGGACCAUUUGCGCAGACAGGAAAUGCGCCGGUGAACUGGGGGCCCGGUGAAGUGAAUGACUCGACUGUGGUACAACCUGUGUUGGAUGGACCGUAUCAACCAGCGUCGUUCGAUCUACCAGUAGGAAAUUGGAUGUUGUUAGCGCCAACAGGACCAGGUGUGGUAGUGGAAGGGACGGAUAAUUCUGGUAGAUGGUUGUCUGUAAUUCUGAUUGAACCAGGCGUCACAUCAGAGACUAGAACGUAUACGAUGUUUGGAUCAAGUAAACAGGUGUUAGUGUCGAACGUGUCUAAUACGAAAUGGAAAUUUGUUGAAAUGAUGAAGACGGCGGUUGAUGGUGACUAUGCGGAAUGGGGAACGUUACUAUCGGACACCAAACUCUAUGGGAUGAUGAAAUAUGGAGAGAGACUAUUCAUAUACGAAGGAGAAACCCCAAAUGCCACGACCAAAGGAUACAUUCUAACGAAUUAUGCAUCAGUUGAGGUAAGGCCAUAUAGUGACUUUUAUAUAAUUUCAAGAUCACAGGAAUCAGCAUGCACUGAGUAUAUAAACAACGGGCUGCCACCCAUCCAAAAUACCAGGAAUGUAGUGCCUGUGGCAAUAUCGUCCAGAUCAAUUAAACCAAGAGAAGUGCAGGCUAAUGAAGAUAUUGUAGUUUCUAAGACUUCACUAUGGAAAGAAAUGCAAUAUAAUAGAGAUAUCAUAAUUAGAUUUAGGUUUGAUAAUUCAAUAAUAAAAUCUGGAGGCUUGGGCUAUAAGUGGGCUGAAAUCUCAUUUAAAGCAGCAAAUUAUCAAUACAAUUACAUAAGAGACGGAGAAGAGGUUACAGCGCACACGACGUGCUCAGUUAAUGGUGUUAAUGAUUUUAGUUUUAACGGAGGCUCAUUACCAACAGAUUUCGCAAUAUCGAGAUAUGAGGUAAUUAAAGAAAAUUCGUAUGUAUACGUUGAUUACUGGGACGAUUCACAGGCAUUCAGAAAUAUGGUCUACGUGCGAUCAUUAGCAGCGAAUUUGAAUGACGUAAUGUGUUCUGGCGGAGAUUAUAGCUUCGCGCUACCUGCCGGACAGUGGCCAGUGAUGAAAGGGGGAGCGGUGACGUUGCACACAGCAGGAGUAACAUUAUCUACACAAUUCACCGACUACGUAUCACUGAACUCACUAAGGUUUAGGUUUAGACUGGCAGUUGAAGAACCCUCAUUCACGAUAACUAGAACACGUGUAUCAAAACUGUAUGGUUUACCAGCAGCGAACCCAAACGGCGGAAGGGAAUAUUAUGAAGUGGCGGGAAGGUUUUCGCUCAUAUCAUUGGUGCCAUCAAAUGAUGACUAUCAAACGCCAAUUAUGAACUCAGUAACAGUAAGGCAAGACUUGGAAAGGCGUUUAAAUGAGUUGAGAGAAGAGUUUAAUAACUUAUCACAAGAGAUAGCUGUGUCGCAGUUAAUUGACUUAGCUAUGCUACCACUAGACAUGUUUUCGAUGUUCUCGGGAAUUGAGGGUACUGUGAACGCAGCAAAAUCGAUGGCUACCAACGUGAUGAGGAAAUUUAAGAGUUCAAAACUCGCAUCAUCAGUGUCAAUGUUGACGGACUCUUUCUCCGAUGCGGCCUCAUCUAUCGCAAGGAGCACAUCAAUACGAUCAAUAGGAUCAACGGCAUCAGCUUGGGCUAAUGUUUCAGAGCAAACGCAAGACGCUGUUAGUGAAGUUGCGACGAUAUCAUCACAAGUGUCACAAAUAAGUGGGAAAUUAAGAUUAAAAGAAAUUACGACUCAAACAGAAGGAAUGAAUUUCGAUGACAUAUCAGCGGCGGUCCUAAAAGCCAAGAUAGAUAGAUCAAUACAGGUCGACCAAAAUGCAUUACCAGACGUCAUCACAGAAGCGUCAGAGAAAUUCAUCCGUAAUAGGGCGUAUAGAGUAAUAGACGGAGAUGAAGCAUUUGAGGCGGGCACUGACGGAAGAUUUUUCGCGUACAAGGUGGAAACGCUUGAGGAAAUGCCAUUCAAUAUAGAAAAAUUCGCAGAUUUAGUUACCAACUCACCAGUCAUAUCAGCAAUAAUAGACUUUAAGACAUUCAAAAACCUGAAUGACAAUUAUGGGAUAACUAGAGAGCAAGCAUUUAAUUUGUUACGGUCAAACCCCAAAGUUUUGCGUGGAUUUAUUGACCAAAACAAUCCAAUUAUAAAAAACAGGAUAGAACAAUUAAUCAUGCAAUGUAGAUUGUGAGAAGCUUCUGGAGGAUGUGACC